rnacentral:rRNA from 1 species
UCCAGACUCCUACGGGAGGCAGCAGUGGGGAAUAUUGCACAAUGGGGGAAACCCUGAUGCAGCGACGCCGCGUGAGUGAGGAAGUAUUUCGGUAUGUAAAGCUCUAUCAGCAGGGAAGAAAAUGACGGUACCUGAGUAAGAAGCCCCGGCUAACUACGUGCCAGCAGCCGCGGUAAUACGUAGGGGGCAAGCGUUAUCCGGAUUUACUGGGUGUAAAGGGAGCGUAGACGGCCAGACAAGUCUGAAGUGAAAAUCCAGCGCUUAACGUUGGAAGUGCUUUGGAAACUGCCGGGCUGGAGUGCAGGAGGGGCAGGCGGAAUUCCUAGUGUAGCGGUGAAAUGCGUAGAUAUUAGGAGGAACACCAGUGGCGAAGGCGGCCUGCUGGACUGCAACUGACGUUGAGGCUCGAAGGCGUGGGGAGCAAACAGGAUUAGAUACCCGAGUA